UCCAAUGGGUGAAAUUUUACUUUUUUAUCGGUCAGUUUUCAUGAUAUACAAUCCAAAGGAUGAUUCACUCAGACAACCAAAAGUUACUGAACUUAAGUGGUGUUUUACGCCGGAAAUCUUUGUUGAAAGCCUUGCUAAUCCUCUUAUUGAUAGCUGACCAACGACAUGAUAACCAUAAAGACUGAAAAUCAUGCCAUCAAUAACUUGUAAGUCUUCCUCAGCUCUAUCAAUUUUGCACAAGCUCUAGUUGAUGUUCUUUUCGUGCACAUCCUCUUUUAUCAUAUAUCGAACAAGACAUUGGAUAUCUGUGAAUCUCUAACCAUAUUUGCUUGUAAAAGAAAGAUAUUCUCCUAAUAUCCAUUAGCCUAUAAUUUGUUUUUGGUUCAGAGAAUGAAAUGGGGACUGAAAAAAUUAAUAUGGACUUUUGUUGUAAUUUACAGAAUUGAGAAAAGGAAGAAGAAACAGAAAGAAAUGAAUCUGAUAGAAGAGAGUAGAGCCAAUGUUAUUUCAUUUAACUCACUUUGAAGCAUGACUACAAGUAUUCCAUUUAUAGGCUUGUUAAUUAUCCUGUCAUUAGUGCUAACUACUUAAAUAACUUUGAGACUCAUGAACUAAUUAACUGACCAUUAACAGCAUUAUAAGUUAAUUAGAUACAAUGACAGAAAUGCCCCUCCUUGUUGAUCAGCUCACUUUAACUUUCCUGGCUCUUGUAGUUUGGCCUAAGUUGCGCGCAGUGGCAGAGCCACCUUGUGAUUAGGGGGUUCAUCCGAACCUCAUUCGAUGGAAAAUUAUACUAUUUCUAUAUAGUGAAAAUUCUUUUUUAUGUAUAUAUAAUUGAUGUUGAACCCCCUUCAGCUAGUUCGUGUGCCUAUGUUUUUCGAUUUUGAACCCCCUUGUUGAAAAUUCUGGCUCCGCCUCUGGUUGCGCAGACUCUUCACUUUCAAUGCCACACCCGUGUCGGGCUCUCCAAACAUAUUCUGCUUUUUGAGAAUCCAUUACGCACUCGCUGACAUUUUUGAAGAGUCCGAGCAACAUAGAUUUUGGCUACCUCUAAUAAAAGAACGCCAGACAUGAAAACAAAUGUGUCAACAUUGAAUAUAAGUGUUGCGAAAGAAACUAGAACUAGGAUUUGGUAUCUGUGGAAGGAAGUAAUUUGGAAAUUACAAUAAACAGGAGAAGGAAUGUGCUUAAUUUGAAGUCAAGUUCCCUAUUUUCUUGGCAUUUUUGCUUCCUUUAUCUGGAUACUUUUAUUUGCAUUCCUUUUCCUUUACAGGAUGGUUUCAGAUUUCUUUUGGCCGCCUAGGAUCUAUGUCCAAUUAACAUUUUAAAAAUGAUCAAUCCCUUCCCUGUUAUAACCUCAAACACAAAAUUGUCAGAUCUUAGACCAAACAAGGAAGCAAAAACACCCAAGGGUGUGGCCUAGAAGUGGGUUGAGAACCUGAGGUCUCAGGUUCAAAGCCCAGAGACAAAAAAGCCACUAGGUAAUUCUUCUCAUGUCCUAGCCAUGGUGGACAGAGUUACCUAAUAUUUGUUGCUGGCGGGAGGUGGCAGGCAUCUCGUGAAUAUAGUCGAGGUGUGCGAAAGCUGGCCCGGAUAUGACCGUUAUAAAAAAAAGGAAGUAAAGUAAGAGUAGGACAAAUUUCUGCAAUGAUGAGGAUACAGCUGCUCGCCUUGACAACAAUUUUGUUUAUGAGUUCAUAAAUGUAUACACACUUGCCUCCUGCAACAACUUUCCCUUUGCCUUAAACUGAUUAUGUUGAAUAGAGGCAAACAUAUGUAUUUUAUUAUAUGUAUAUAUUUUAAUUUUUUUCCCAUACGUUUUGUUUUUAGUCAAGGGUAACUUUUGUAUUCACAAAAAGCUCAUUAUCCAAAAAAUGGUGAGAGUGACUUUUACAACCACAUACUAUGUGGUACAUCCUCAUAGGGGACUGCAAAAACAUAGAAGACUUUACAAGUUACCUAUGAAAUCAACUAGAGCUAUCGUAUCCUCCCCCAAAUUAUGUUUGCUAAAAUCUUCUAGAUUUGUUAUCUACAAUCUUCUAGAGUUGUUAUCUACUUAUAAGUUAGUAGAAUAUGCAGAGAACUUUCGGUGCUAGAUAAACUAGCAGUUUUAUAAUAUUGUACUGAGAUUGACUUAGUAGGUAGUUGUGUGUUGUCUCGCUUUAUUCUUUCAUACAUUUAUUUUUUCUUAUACUUCAAUUAUUGUAUUAUUUAAUUGUAGUUACGGUUUCUUAUACAGAAUGCUUCGUCAUUCCUUGUUUAGUAUUUUGCCUUGGUUUCUUCCCUCCUGUUAUUUUCUUGAACUGAGGGUCUAUCAAGAACAACCUCUCUACCUCCCAAGGUAAGGGUAAGAUUUGCAUACACACUACCCUCCCCGGACCCCACUUGUGGAACUAUACUAGGUAUGUUGAUGGUGUUGACUGAGAUUGACUUAAACUGAGGAUAUGUGUAGUUA
rnacentral:lncRNA from 1 species